UUAAAAUUAGACCUCAACAUUCGUCCGGGUCUUAUUGACUUUACCCACUAAUAAGUCAACAUUUGACUGACGCACACUAUUUUUAAGGUUAGAGUAGGCCAGAAAGGUAAACAAAUAGUAUCAAAGUCUAACACGGUCUAACACAACAUAUAGCCUAUCACCAUUCUUUUUUUUUAGAUCUUGUACUAUACCAGCAGAGUGCUGGUAACUCGUAUACGUAAAUUAAAGAUUUUUAUCAUCGGUCAUGAGAUAAAGUUGCAUGUUUACCUGGUUGGUUCGUCAAGAAAGAGGAUGUCUGGAUUGUCCAGCAACUCCAGUCCGAUCGAAAGCCUUUUGCAUUCGCCACCCGACAAGCAGCCGAUUUGCGUACGUCUGCUUUCCGUUAACCCCAGCGUUUU